AAGUGUUAUGAUUGGGGUUUUGGGCUGUUUUGAGAUGCACUUCCCCCAAUCUGUUUUACAGCUCCUGCACAUUGCCCAUCUG
rnacentral:snoRNA from 1 species